AUUGAACGCUGGCGGCAUGCCUUACACAUGCAAGUCGAACGGUAACGGGCCUUCGGGUGCCGACGAGUGGCGAACGGGUGAGUAAUACAUCGGAACGAGCCCGAUCGUGGGGGAUAACGAGGCGAAAGCUUUGCUAAUACCGCAUACGAUCUACGGAUGAAAGCAGGGGACCGCAAGGCCUUGCGCGGACGGAGCGGCCGAUGGCAGAUUAGGUAGUUGGUGGGAUAAAAGCUUACCAAGCCGACGAUCUGUAGCUGGUCUGAGAGGAUGAUCAGCCACACUGGGACUGAGACACGGCCCAGACUCCUACGGGAGGCAGCAGUGGGGAAUUUUGGACAAUGGGCGCAAGCCUGAUCCAGCCAUGCCGCGUGCAGGAUGAAGGCCUUCGGGUUGUAAACUGCUUUUGUACGGAACGAAAAGCCUUCUUUUAAUACAGGAGGGUCAUGACGGUACCGUAAGAAUAAGCACCGGCUAACUACGUG
rnacentral:rRNA from 1 species